rnacentral:rRNA from 1 species
UACGUAGGGUGCGAGCGUUAAUCGGAAUUACUGGGCGUAAAGCGUGCGCAGGCGGUUUUGCAAGACAGAUGUGAAAUCCCCGGGCUCAACCUGGGAACUGCAUUUGUGACUGCACGGCUGGAGUGCGGCAGAGGGGGAUGGAAUUCCGCGUGUAGCAGUGAAAUGCGUAGAUAUGCGGAGGAACACCGAUGGCGAAGGCAGCCCCCUGGGCUGAGAUUGACGCUCAGGCACGAAAGCGUGGGGAGCAAACAGG